rnacentral:rRNA from 1 species
GAUGAACGCUAGCGGCAGGCUUAAUACAUGCAAGUCGAGGGGCAGCGGGGGUAGCGAAUACCUGCCGGCGAACCGGCAAACGGGUGCGGAACACGUACGCAACUUACCCUUAACUGGGGGAUAGCCCGGGGAAACCCGGAUUAAUACCUCGUAAGAUAGUGUGAUGGCAUCAUCAUAUUAUUAUAGCCUUUAUUGGUGGUUUGGGAUGGGCGUGCGGCUGAUUAGGUAGUUGGUUGGGUAACGGCCCACCAAGCCUGCGAUCAGUAACUGGUGU